ensembl:snRNA U6 U6 spliceosomal RNA
ACCAUAUUUUUGGCAUCGUACUGCUAAAGAUGGGAUGGAGCAGAGAUUAGCACAGGCCCUAUGCAUGGAUGAUACUCAAAUUUGCAAAGUGUUCCACAUUUUU